rnacentral:rRNA from 1 species
ACGAGUCUUCGUACACGGAUGUGGGGGUAAAGGUCGUUGAGGAGCCCUGUCUAACACAGGCCAAGGAGUAGGGGUUUUCCUCGAGUGUGUUGGUGGUAGACCCCCCCGCGAAAUGAAAAUGAAAGCUGGUGAGGACCCUUUUUUGGGUGCAUCACCGACCGAUCCCAAUGUUAUCGGAGGGAAUCGAGUAUGAGCGGAGGGCCUCGGACCCGAAAGAUGGUGAACUAUGCCUGCAUAGAAUGAAGCCAGAGGAAACUCUGGUGGAGGGUCGCAGCGGUUCUGACGUGCAAAUCGAUCGUCAAAUUUGGGCAUAGGGGCGAAAAGAAUUU